rnacentral:rRNA from 1 species
GAGUUUGAUCUUGGCUCAGGACGAACGCUGGCGGCGUGCUUAACACAUGCAAGUCGAACGAAGCGCUCUUAAAUCUUCGGAUGAGAGAGUGACUGAGUGGCGGACGGGUGAGUAACGCGUGGGUAACCUGCCUCAUACAGGGGGAUAACAGCUGGAAACGGCUGCUAAUACCGCAUAAGCGCACAGUACCGCAUGGUACAGUGUGAAAAACUCCGGUGGUAUGAGAUGGACCCGCGUCUGAUUAGGUAGUUGGUAGCGGUAACGGCGC